ACAAUGGAGAGUUUGAUCCUGGCUCAGGAUGAACGCUAGCGGCAGGCUUAACACAUGCAAGUCGAGGGGCAGCAUAGUCUUCGGACUGAUGGCGACCGGCGC
rnacentral:rRNA from 1 species